rnacentral:rRNA from 1 species
UACGUAGGGGGCGAGCGUUGUCCGGAGUUACUGGGCGUAAAGGGCGUGCAGGCGGUGCGGUAAGUUUGGAGUGACAGUACCCGGCUUAACUGGGUAAGGUCUUCAAAAACUGCCGGACUCGAGGGCCAGAGAGGGACAUAGAAUUCCGGGUGGAGUGGUGAAAUGCGUAGAUAUCCGGAGGAAUACCAAAGGCGAAGGCAGUGUCCUGGAUGGUACCUGACGCUGAGGCGCGAAAGCUAGGGGAGCGAACAGG